UACGUAGGGGGCAAGCGUUGUCCGGACUUACUGGGCGUAAAGCGCGUGCAGGCGGAUGUGUAUGUGCCGUGUGAAAGCUCUCGGCUUGCCCGGGAGAGGUCGCGGUAGACAGCUCAUCUGGAGGCUCGGAGAGGUCAGUGGAAUUCCCGGUGUAGUGGUGAAAUGCGUAGAUAUCGGGAGGAACACCGGUGGCGAAGGCGGCGACCUGGGUAGACUGACUGACGCUGAGGUGCGAAAGCGUGGGGAGCAAACAGG
rnacentral:rRNA from 1 species